rnacentral:rRNA from 1 species
AUGUUUUCUGAUUAUGAUCUGGAGAGGCUUGCUGCCGAGACUGAAGGUAAAUUCCAUCUUCCGUUCUAUGCUCAUUCUGAAAUGAUGGCGCUGCUGUGGUCCUUGAUGAGGAAGCAUAUCUAUAUGUCCCUAGGGUAUUCUGGGAGUGACCUGAGAGCCUUGUGCGAGGAAGCUACAAUGAUGUCCAUCAGUGAGCUCGGUGCACAGAACAUUCUCAGUACUAAAGCAAACCAGGUGCUUCUUCUGCAGUUUCUGAACUUUGUAUACCGAACCGCCAACCCUGCUGUUUAA